rnacentral:rRNA from 1 species
CUCAGGACGAACGCUGGCGGCGUGCCUAAUACAUGCAAGUCGAACGCUUCUUUUUCCACCGGAGCUUGCUCCACCGGAAAAAGARGAGUGGCGAACGGGUGAGUAACACGUGGGUAACCUGCCCAUCAGAAGGGGAUAACACUUGGAAACAGGUGCUAAUACCGUAUAACAAUCRAAACCGCAUGGUUUUGAUUUGAAAGGCGCUUUCGGGUGUCGCUGAUGGAUGGACCCGCGGUGCAUUAGCUAGUUGGUGAGGUAACGGCUCACCAAGGCCACGAUGCAUAGCCGACCUGAGAGGGUGAUCGGCCACAUUGGGACUGAGACACGGCCCAAACUCCUACGGGAGGCAGCAGUAGGGAAUCUUCGGCAAUGGACGAAAGUCUGACCGAGCAACGCCGCGUGAGUGAAGAAGGUUUUCGGAUCGUAAAACUCUGUUGUUAGAGAAGAACAAGGAUGAGAGUAACUGUUCAUCCCUUGACGGUAUCUAACCAGAAAGCCACGGCUAACUACGUGCCAGCAGCCGCGGUAAUACGUAGGUGGCAAGCGUUGUCCGGAUUUAUUGGGCGUAAAGCGAGCGCAGGCGGUUUCUUAAGUCUGAUGUGAAAGCCCCCGGCUCAACCGGGGAGGGUCAUUGGAAACUGGGAGACUUGAGUGCAGAAGAGGAGAGUGGAAUUCCAUGUGUAGCGGUGAAAUGCGUAGAUAUAUGGAGGAACACCAGUGGCGAAGGCGGCUCUCUGGUCUGUAACUGACGCUGAGGCUCGAAAGCGUGGGGAGCAAACAGGAUUAG